GAGGGUACAGCUCAGUGGUGGAGUGCAUGCCUAGAAUGCCUGAGGUCCUGGGUUCAAUCCCCGGUACUUCCA
rnacentral:tRNA from 1 species